GCCUGGGUGGCUCAGUCAGUUAAGCGCCUGACUUCGGCUCAGGUCAUGAUCUCAUGGUUUGUGAGUUCGAGCCCCACGUCGGGCU
rnacentral:tRNA from 1 species